AUUGAACGCUGGCGGCAGGCCUAACACAUGCAAGUCGAGCGGACGGAGGAAGCUCGUGCCUGGAUUCAGCGGGGGACGGGUGGGUAAGGACUAGGAAGCUGACUUGCCGAGGGGGAUAGCGUACGGAAAGGGGAGCUAAGAUCGCAUACGUCAAGAUGGAGAAAGUGAGGGAUCUAUGGACAAAGAGCGAUCAGAUGACCCUAGUACGGGUUACCGGGCCGGAUUAGCUAGUUGGUAGGGUAACGGCUUACCAAGGCUACGAUGCGUAGCUGACCUGAGAGGAUGAUCAGCCACACUGGAACUGAGACACGGUCCAGACUCCUACGGGAGGCAGCAGUAGGGAAUAUUGCACAAUGGGCGAAAGCCUGAUCCAGCCAUGCCGCGUGUGUGAAGAAGGUCUUCGGAUCGUAAAACUCUUUUAGUUGGGAGGAACGGAAGUAAGUGAAUCUCUGCCUGUUUUGACGGUACCAACAGAGUAAGCACCGGCUAACUUCGUG
rnacentral:rRNA from 1 species